CUGGAUGGUUGUGAGACCUGUGGCCUGGAUGGUUGUGAGACCUGUGGCCACGAUGGUUGUGAGACCUGUGGCCACGAUGGUUGUGAGACCUGUGGCCUGGAUGGUUGUGAGACCUGUGGCCACGAUGGUUGUGAGACCUGUGGCCACGAUGGUUGUGAGACCUGUGGCCACGAUGGUUGUGAGACCUGUGGCCUGGAUGGUUGGGAGACCUGUGGCCGACGAUGGUUGGGAGACCUGUGGCCGGCGAUGGUUGAGGGGCCGGCGAUGGUGGGGAGAAUUGGAUCCAGGAGAAGUUGUCGCAACUUUGAAAUCAACCAGGAAUGUCAACCGGACCAAUGUUUGACAGCUUCCCUCUAACAAGUCUCAACAUAUUUUGGUGUUCUAAACAACUUGUCAAGCUCUGAUCACAAGCUCCACUGGAUAAAGGACAUCCUGUGCAAGGCUGCAUUUAAUUCUGUGCCUACAUUUGAUUGGCUGGCAGGGCUGUUUGUACAGGCCGCUGACUGACUUGUGAGGAAGGCAUCACUAGUCCAACGCAACGGUCAUGAGAUUUGUGUUCCGUUAGGUUUAAAAGGUGGGUGCUGUGCAUUUCUAGUUCUGUAUUAGUAGACUGAUGGCAUGUCUUUUAGAAAUUACUUUAUUUACCAGAAACAUCCUCACUGGCAAAUUCAGCUGCUUCAGUACAUUUCACUUUGAAGUUCGGUGUGUCAUUUGCAUAUUGGAAGAUUUGUACCAUAAAGGCAAGUGAACAUUAUUAAGAGAUUAACUGAGUAUCUUGAUGGUAAGACUUAACGUAUUAACCUUCAUGCAUGUGGUUUUUACCAGGCAUGGCUCAUGCUAGACUUCAUCAUGAAGAUGCUUGUAAACCAGGAGUGGGGUUCGGGCUGGGCAGCAUUUAUCUGUAGAACAUCAGUUUUAAGAUGUGGUUUCAUUGGUAACAUUUGCAGAUUUAGAAUCUGCAUUGAAUAAAUGUCCAGGUUAUUUUAAGCUACAAUCUACUUGAUUUGCUAAGCAUUGCGACUUUGGAAAUUCAUGUUUUUGUUAAGUUAGCCCAAUAUCAAAUAAUGAAGGCGUUCCUCAUUGAUGGUACCGUCAGUAUCCUGAGCAUUUAUACCCCUGAUGAGCAAGACUUCAACUUCUCCUCAAACGGUAUGUCUAAAGUAUGAUGAUGCCAUUUUGUGUUUCAACCUUUGACCCUUUGGUCACUCUAUUGUAACUGAUCUUUCGCAGAUUUAUCCAUCGACUGGUUGUCUUGAGGAGGAUGAAUCCGGUUGACGCCCCUCCUGGGAGGUAAGGGCCACUUCCAUGCAUGUUGACGGUGUUUUAAAGGAGUAAAUCAAAGUAUCUUUAGGAGCUGAAGGACGGGCGGCCAGCUUCAGCGGUCCUGAUGGAUGUGGAAGGGUAUGAUGCUGGAAAACAAAUUGUUAAAUUUCUCUGCUUGAUAGAAUGUGGCUCUUUUUGAGACUAGCUACACUCGUAUUUAUUAACAAACAUUCUCCUUCACUAGGUAUAGGUUCAGGAUUGGUCUUGGGUCAAGUUUACCCUUUAGAGCGCCGAAUAGAAAUUGAUGCAUCAAUGCACAAUUUCAAAGUACGUAGACUACACGAGUCAGCUGCAGGUGUGGCAGUGACUGCUUGUGUUAAGACGGGCUAGUUUAUCCCCAUCCUGGUGGUACCAAGUGGUCAGUGAUGGGUUUGGGUAGUGGCUAUGGUAGUCUACUCCCAGCCGGAAGAUGAUGAUGAUGAUGUUGAUUGAGCAGCUGCUGCAGGUGGACCAGUGUGUUGCACCGACACUUAAGGCUCAUCUUGAGCUGUACUAGCUGGUCACAGAAGAGACUGGUACUUAAUAUAGCAGGGAGCUUUCAGUUCGCCCUCUAAUGGGAGGAAACCCACCAGGUACCUGGCCGGUCGCAGCUUCACCAGGUGGGUGGGGGAACAUGGUCCAUGGAAAGAAAAAGGUGCAUUUCAUGUGUUGAAACUGAAGUCGUAGGUUUUGGACCUCCGCUGAGUGACCCGUGACAUGAAGUCUGCUAUGGUGCCGUCCACAUCAGACCUUUCAGAGUCGGCAUUCGCUGGUGGACACCAAGGCCCAGUCUGCAGAGGGUUGUGGAUCCUCCAGGGACGAGUUGCUGCUUCUUGUUUGCUGCGAGUGGAAAUAAAC